rnacentral:rRNA from 1 species
UACGAAGGGGGCUAGCGUUGCUCGGAAUUACUGGGCGUAAAGCGCACGUAGGCGGCUCUUUAAGUCGGGGGUGAAAUCCUGGAGCUCAACUCCAGAACUGCCUUUGAUACUGAGGAGCUUGAGUCCGGGAGAGGUGAGUGGAACUGCGAGUGUAGAGGUGAAAUUCGUAGAUAUUCGCAAGAACACCAGUGGCGAAGGCGGCUCACUGGCCCGGUACUGACGCUGAGGUGCGAAAGCGUGGGGAGCAAACAGGGAU